AACAACGGAUCUCUUGGUUCCAGCAUCGAUGAAGNACGCAGCGAAAUGCGAUAAGUAAUGUGAAUUGCAGAAUUCAGUGAAUCAUCGAAUCUUUGAACGC
rnacentral:rRNA from 1 species